rnacentral:rRNA from 1 species
UCAAGCUACAAAGAGCACAAGGGGAAUGCCUUGGCACCGAGAGCCGAAGAAGGACGUGACUAACUGCGAUAAGCUGCGGGGAGCCGUAAGUAGGCUUUGAUCCGCAGAUUUCCGAAUGGAGCAAUCCGGCAAGAGGAAAGUCUUGUCAUCAUAUACUGAAUACAUAGGUAUAUGAGGGGAACCGCCUGAACUGAAACAUCUAAGUAGGGCGAGGAAGAGAAAUCAACUGAGAUUCCGUAAGUAGUGGCGAGCGAACGCGGAAGAGGCCAAACCGAGAGUAGUAAUACUUUCGGGGUUCGGACAGAAAACGGUAUUGUAAAGGUUUAGUGGAAUGGAAUGGGAAGUCCAACCGAAGAAGGUGAGAGUCCUGUACACGAAAAGCCUGAACAGCCAUCUGUAUCCAGAGUACCGCCGGACACGUGAAACCCGGUGGGAAUAUGGGGGGACCAUCCUCCAAGCCUAAAUACUACUCGGUGACCGAUAGUGAAGAAGUACUGUGAAGGAAAGGUGAAAAGUACCCCUGACGGGGAGUGAAAAAGAACCUGAAACCUUGUGUUUACAAGCACCGAAAGCUCAUCAAAGAGCGAUCGGGUACCUUUUGUAGAAUGGUCCGGCGAGUGAAUGUAACCGGCGAGGUUAAGCACUUAAGGUGUGAAGCCGCAGCGAGAGCAAGUCUGAAUAGGGCGUAUGAAGUCGGUUGUAUUCGACCCGAAACCGGGUGACCUACCCAUGGUCAGGUUGAAGUAAAGGUAAAACUUUAUGGAGGACCGAACCGACUCCCGUUGAAAUGGUAGCGGAUGAACUGUGGGUAGCGGAGAAAUUCCAAUCGAACCCGGAGAUAGCUGGUUCUCUCCGAAAUAGCUUUAGGGCUAGCCUUGAAAUAGAUUACCGGAGGUAAAGCACUGAAUUGGCUAGGGGCCGAGAGGUUACUGAACCUUAUCAAACUAAGAAUGCCGGAUAAUCGUUUUUCAGGAGUCAGACAGUGGGAGAUAAGUUUCAUUGUCAAAAGGGAAACAGCCCAGACCCACAGCUAAGGUCCCCAAGUAUAGUUAAGUGGAAAAGGAUGUGGAAUUGCACAGACAACCAGGAUGUUGGCUUAGAAGCAGCCACUCAUUAAAAGAGUGCGUAAUAGCUCACUGGUCGAGUGACUCUGCGCCGAAAAUUUAACGGGGCUAAACUAUACACCGAAGCUUGGGAUACAUCUAAUGUAUGGUAGGAGAGCGUUCUGUAUGGGGAGAAGUCGUAGCGAAAGCGGCGGUGGACUAUACAGAAGUGAGAAUGCCGGAAUAAGUAGCGAGAAUUAAGUGAGAAUCUUAAUGGCCGAAAGUCUAAGGUUUUUGGAGGAAGGUUCGUCCGCUCCAAGUAAGUCGGGAGCUAAGGUCAGGCCGAAAGGCGUAGCCGAUGCACAUACGGUUGAUAUUCCGUAACCAUCUGUAAUUUAAGCAAAGGGACACUUCAAAAGGGUGUGACCCGGGCGUUGGUUGACCCGGGCGUAAGGGACCGAAAUUAGAGUAGGGAAGCACACUUGGCUGAAGGCGAGAAAAGCUUUGCGUAUAGAAACAGAUGCCCGUACCGCAAACCGACACAGGUGGACAGGAAGAGAAUUCUAAGGCCAGCGGGAGAAGGGUAGUUAAGGAACUCGGCAAAUUGACUCCGUAACUUCGGAAUAAGGAGUGCUCGAAAGAGCCGCAGAGAAUAGGCCCAGGCGACUGUUUAGCAAAAACACAGGUCUCUGCCAAAUCGAAAGAUGAAGUAUAGGGGCUGACACCUGCCCGGUGCCGGAAGGUUAAGAGGAGGAGUGAGAGCUCCGAAUUGAAGCCCCGGUAAACGGCGGCCGUAACUAUAACGGUCCUAAGGUAGCGAAAUUCCUUGUCAGGU